rnacentral:rRNA from 1 species
UACAGAGGUGGCAAGCGUUGCUCGGUAUCACUGGGCUUAAAGGGCGCGUAGGCGGUGCGGUGCGGUUUCGGUGAAAUCCCUCGGCCCAACCGAGGAACAGCCGGGGCUACGGCCGCGCUAGACGGCAUCAGGGGACAGUGGAACUCCCGGUGGAGCGGUGAAAUGCGUAGAUAUCGGGAGGAACGCCGGUGGCGAAAGCGACUGUUUGGGGUGCCUGUGACGCUGAGGCGCGAAAGCCAGGGGAUCAAACGGG